rnacentral:lncRNA from 1 species
UUGUAAUACACCGAAAUUUUAAUAUAAAAAUAAGUAUAAAUAAAAAUAGUGUAAGAUACUAUUUUUAUUGGACUUAAAGAAGUAAAAUAUAAGUCGAAAACGACUAGUGCUGAAAUCAGAACGAAAACAGAAAAUUUAGAAUUUUCUGUAAGGAACGGGGCUGAUAUUUUAGCAGAAAAUUUACAGUGUCAGAAAAUUAUGAAAAGUUGGAAAUAUGUCGGAAUUAUUUUUAUGAGGCUAGAUUUAAAGUUUCAUGUCAUUCCGACAUCCGGAAAGUAGAAAAUAAAAUCCGACUGUUAUCUGCUAGAGAUUUAGUUCGGUAGAGCUUUCGGUGACAAAAAAUAGUCCAAACUGAAAAGUAAGAUAUCUUUCUUUUUAUUAAGUAAAACUGAGCCUGACUAUCGAAUUUGAGCGCAAACGGACAUUCAGAAGGGCUCCGCUGAAAAGGAACAGAUUCUGAGCUGUUAAACUGAAAGUAAAUUGUAUUAUGUUGGAGGGGUUAUUUGUGUAACAA